rnacentral:rRNA from 1 species
UACGUAGGUCCCGAGCGUUGUCCGGAUUUAUUGGGCGUAAAGCGAGCGCAGGUGGUUUAUUAAGUCUGGUGUAAAAGGCAGUGGCUCAACCAUUGUAUGCAUUGGAAACUGGUAGGAUUGAGUGCAGGAGAGGAGAGUGGAAUUCCAUGUGUAGCGGUGAAAUGCGUAGAUAUAUGGAGGAACACCGGUGGCGAAAGCGGCUCUCUGGCCUGUAAUUGACACUGAGGCUCGAAAGCGUGGGGAGCAAACAGG